UACGUAGGGUGCGAGCGUUAAUCGGAAUUACUGGGCGUAAAGCGUGCGUAGACGGUUACAUAAGUCGGGUGUGAAAGCCCCGGGCUCAACCUGGGAAUUGCAUUCGAGACUGCGUAGCUAGGGUGCGGAAGAGGGAAGCGGAAUUUCCGGUGUAGCGGUGAAAUGCGUAGAUAUCUGGAGGAACACCGGUGGCGAAGGCGGCAUCCUGGACCGAGAUUGACGCUGAUGCGCGAAAGCCAGGGGAGCAAACGGG
rnacentral:rRNA from 1 species